GGUUUUCUAAGUUCUAUGCAAAGAAAUGUGUGCAUUAUUCUUCUGCCGCUGUUCCUGUGUACGUUGUUUGGCAUUAUCUCAGUCUCUUAUUCCUAUUCAGUUUUUGUUGGAUCUUUUGGACUGCUUGCUUUUGGUGCAAAGAGUUUUCUGAUCGGUGGGUUACAUUUUGAUAAACGGUGUCAGAUCUAUGCAUUUGUUUUUAUGCAGCUCAAAGAGAGAAGAUAAGUGAAGCUAAUCAAGGCUCCAAACAAGGACGGCAGCUGCAGUGUCAGAAAAUGCCAUAGUUCUGAGUUUUAAAUCGAGGGUUUAAAGCAGAACAGCAGCUAUAGUGUCAAAGCUCCAGAGUUUAAACUCAAGAGUCAUUACUGGAUACUUACUAGCAGGAUCUGCCAUUGGACCCAGAGGCUUUAAUUUUGGCCUUGGAUUACAAGUUGUGAAAUAUUUGGCUGCCAAAUAUGAAGAGCUAGGGUGUGAAGUGAAAUGGAUGGGCAAGCCUGAUAAGGUGAUCUAGUCACAUUGGUCUGGUUACCGCUGUUAACUUCAUGGUGCGGCUAAAAUAGCCUCACAAUUUAACCCUGCAAAAUGUAGUUGUCAGUAUAGGAUAAGCAGGGAUCGUUCAGUCCGGGGAUUGUAGGGUA